rnacentral:rRNA from 1 species
AAUCAACGCUGGCGGCGUGCCUCAGACAUGCAAGUCGAACGAUUAAGACUCUCUUCGGAGAGUGUAUAAAGUGGCGCACGGGUGAGUAACACGUAGGUAAUGUACCGAAGGGUGGGGAAUAACUUAGGGAAACUUAAGCUAAUACCGCAUAAUGCAGCGGCUCGACAUCGAGACAGUUGUUAAAGGAGCAAUCCGCCUUUUGAGCAGCCUGCGGCAGAUUAGCUAGUUGGUAAGGUAAUGGCUUACCAAGGCUACGAUCUGUAACCGACCUGAGAGGGUGGUCGGUCACACUGACACUGAAUAACGGGUCAGACUCCUACGGGAGGCAGCAGUCGGGAAUUUUGGGCAAUGGGCGAAAGCCUGACCCAGCAACGCCGCGUGAAGGAUGAAGUAUUUCGGUAUGUAAACUUCGUAAGAACAGGAAGAAUAAAUGACGGUACUAUUUGUAAGGUCCGGCUAACUACGUGCCAGCAGCCGCGGU